rnacentral:rRNA from 1 species
GCUGGUAGCAAAUACCCCUUUGUCUGUGGCCCCUUCAGAUCUCAUAAGCUAAAUAUGGUCAGGCCUCAUCAGUACUUGGAUUGGAGACCUACAAAUAAAACCCAGACGCUGCAGGAA